AAUGAGCGGCACUUUCCACACGAGAUUUUCUAUUCUAAAGAAGAAGGGAAAAAAAUCCAUCACAACGCCCAAAGACGGCAUUUUUCUUUCGCCUCUCUCUCCCCCAGUAUCCGUCGUCAGUUACCAAGGUGAGUUGUUUUUUUUUCUUUUAUUUUUUUAUUUUUUACCCGUUAGACUCCCAUGCUUUCUGGACUUUUUUUUUUUCAAUGAUUGAUUAUGCUUUAUUACUUUAGUAAGCUUGGGCAUUUAUUAGUAAUCAUAGUUCCAUUUCAAUUUUAUGGUUCUUGGAAGAUCUUGAAGUUUAUGCUUGGUUUUGCUUACUUUUCCUGUCGAAAAUGAAGAAACAUAUAUCUAUCGUUGAAGUUUAUGCUUGAUUUUGUGUUUGAGUUGUUAGUUGUCUGGUUUUCUUGUUUGUAGUACACGAUAUUUUGAAUAUUGAAGUAGUCAGUUCUUGUUUAGUAAAGCAACACUUGAAAAAAAGACAUCAGUUCUUAUAUGGUAAAGUAAAAUUCGACCAACAUAAUUAAAUAGAUCUUGUUUGGUAAUAAAACCGGCCAACCCAACCCAAACCGAUUGAAACUUGGUGGGUUGGGUUGGGUUUAAACACAUAAUUGGGUUGGGUUGAGUUGAUUUUUUAGCAAACAGAUCAUGUUGGGUUGGGCCGGGGGUUGGGUUGAGUUGAUUUUUUAGCAAACAGAUCAUGUUGGGUUGGGCAAAAAAUCGACCCAACCCACGCCCACCCCCACCCCUAGAUCUUGUUUGGUAUUAAAACCUACCAACCCAAGCCAAACUGAUCGAAACUUGGUGGGUUGGGUUGGGUUUAAACACAUAAUUGGGUUGGGUUGGGUUGAUUUUUUAUCAAACCGAUCAUGUUGGGUUGUGUUUGGGUUGGGCAAAAAAUCAACGCAACCCAACCCACACCCACGCCUAGGUUUGUCCUGCUAUUUACGAAAUUGAGGGACUUGUGUUUUAAUUUUGAAUUGGGUCAAAUUGCAAUUUUUGAAAUUGGUUCUAAAUUUGAAUUCAAAAUCGUUUUUGAAAUUAUGAUUUUAUUGGAUUUGACCCAUGUUUCUAAUUAAGGCCAAAAUUAGUGAUAUAUUUAAAAUUUGACGAUUUUUAUAUUUUUGUUAAAAUUAGAUUUUAAUUUAAAUAUUUAAUUUUGACCCAAAAUUGGAUUUUAUUUUAUUUAGGAGUUUUUGUCCUAAAUUAAAAUAUUAAUUCAAUUUUAUUAGAGUUGGACUCUAAUAUUAUGUUAAUUAAAAUUUGAUUUUAAUUAAUACUACUUCCCCAAUGCAAAUUAAAUUUAGAGUAGGACUCUAAUUUAAUAAUUAAUUAAAAUUUGAUUUUAAUUGAAUUAUCACACCCUAAAUUUUAUAGAAUUAGAGUUGGACUCUAAUAUGGAAUUUAAUUAAAAUUUGAUUUUAAUUAAAUAAUUUCGCCCAAUAGUUUUGGAAUUAGAGUUGGACUCUAAUUUGGAAUUUAGUUAAAAUUUGAUUUUAAUUAAAUAGGCCAGCCAAUUAAGUUGAUUAAUUAAUAUGAUUAAUUAAUUAUUUAAUUAUUUUGAUCCAAAAUUUUAAAUAAAUUUUGACGACUAUAAUUGCUAGAUUCUUAAGACAUUGCAUAUAAUAUUAUAUAUUAUAUAUAGGAAACAAUUAUGUGAUGAAUGUUUAUUUAUAGAUGAUUAUAGACUCGACCAUGAGGAUGUGUUGAAUGGUUGAUUUAAUUCUUGUCAUUUUAUGGGCCUACGAGCCCUUAAUUAUUUUGGACUUGCGAGUCCAUUAUUAUUGUUGUUGUUAUGGGCUAGAGAGCUCUUUAUUAAUUUGGAUCUGCGAGUCCGUUGUUGUUAUUAUUAUUAUGGGUCUGCGAAUCUAAUUUCAUUUAGGCCUGCGUGCCAACUAGUAUAGAAUACAUGUUGCAGAUGGACUAAUUGAAGGCACGAGAAAAGGAGGAAGCCAUGGAGAUGGUGCAUUGAUAAUGAGUCAAUGUUGUAACCCCUAAGAAUUGACCAACUAGUUUUCCCUUUGGGUCGAGAAAACUAGAUAGAUUAAGUCCAUAAUCAUCCAUACUAUUAUUUGUAUAUGUAUGUAUACAAAAUUACUUGAUGAGACCAUUGCAUGUUAAAUCCCUCGUUAAAAUAUUAAGUUAGUAUUAUUUGCCUUCCAUCAUUAUAGUGAAAAACGAGAAUCCUAAAUCGACCUCAGCUUGUUGAGUACACUCAAGACUGGUCUAUUAGGGAUAUGUUUGACACUAUGAAAUAUUUGAUAUUUCUGAAUGAUGAGUUUGACUUAACUAAAAUUUAUCUUUUGUUGAGUACACUCAAGGAGAUAAGUUUUAGAGGCAUGUUAAGUUAACACAUAAGAUAUGUGAAGACGAAAGGUUGUCAGCUUAAUGAUCUGAGAGUUGUAUGGAGAUACAAUUGAUAAUAGUAUCUACCCAGAUGUUUUAUUAAAAUUUGUUUAGUACACUCAAGAUCUCGAUUCAACGACUGGGAUCCCAGUCCACUGGGAAUCAAAUGUGGAUUCCAAUAAUUUAUGUAUGAGGGUCAUGAAUUUAUUUUAAAUAGUGGGAGCACUUUUAAUUAAAGUCCAUAUUGAAUUUGUACAAAUACAUUAUAAUACAUUAUAAUAUAUAUUGAUUAUAUAUUUUUUGUCAUUUACAGUUUUGAAUCAUGAGUAAUCAUAUGAAUUUGAGAGGUAUACUGGAUGCCAACAAACUGACCGAACCAAAUUUUCUCGAUUGGCACCGCAAUUUGAGAAUCGUUCUCAAGUAUGAGAAAAUUGG
rnacentral:lncRNA from 1 species